rnacentral:rRNA from 1 species
UAGUGGCGGACGGGUGAGUAACGCGUGGGUAACCUGCCUCACACAGGGGGAUAACAGUUAGAAAUGACUGCUAAUACCGCAUAACCCGAUAGGAUCGCAUGAUCCAGACGGAAAAGAUUUAUCGGUGUGAGAUGGACCCGCGUCUGAUUAGCUAGUUGGUGAGGUAACGGCCCACCAAGGCGACGAUCCAUAGCCGGCCUGAGAGGGUGAACGGCCACAUUGGGACUGAGACACGGCCCAGACUCCUACGGGAGGCAGCAGUGGGGAAUAUUGCACAAUGGGGGAAACCCUGAUGCAGCGACGCCGCGUGAAGGAAGAAGUAUCUCGGUAUGUAAACUUCUAUCAGCAGGGAAGAUAGUGACGGUACCUGACUAAGAAGCCCCGGCUAACUACGUGCCAGCAGCCGCGGUAAUACGUAGGGGGCAAGCGUUAUCCGGAUUUACUGGGUGUAAAGGGCGCGUAGGCGGACUGUCAAGUCAGUCGUGAAAUACCGGGGCUUAACCCCGGGGCUGCGAUUGAAACUGACAGCCUUGAGUAUCGGAGAGGAAAGCGGAAUUCCUAGUGUAGCGGUGAAAUGCGUAGAUAUUAGGAGGAACACCAGUGGCGAAGGCGGCUUUCUGGACGACAACUGACGCUGAGGCGCGAAAGUGUGGGGA